rnacentral:rRNA from 1 species
UUUUUAAUAAAAUAUUUGAUCCUUUCGUACUAAAAUAUUUACUUUAAAUCAAGAUAGAAACCAACCUGGCUUACACCGGUUUAAACUCAGAUCAUGUAAAAUUUUAAAGGUCGAACAGACCUAAAAUUUCUAGCUUCUACACCAAAAAUUAAUUUUAAUCCAACAUCGAGGUCGCAAUCUUUUUUUUCAAUAAGAACUUUCAAAAAAAAUUACGCUGUUAUCCCUAAGGUAAUUUAAUCUUAUAAUCAUUUUUAUGGAUCAAAAAUUCAUUAAUUUAUGUUUUAAUUAAAAAAAAGUUAAUUUAAUUUUUUUGUCACCCCAACACAAUUUCAAAUAAAAUUAAAAAUUUUUAAUACUAAAAUUUUAAAAAUUAAAUUGAAAUUAAACUCUAUAGGGUCUUCUCGUCUUUAAAUUAAAUUUAAGCUUUUUAACUUAAAAAUAAAAUUCUAAAAAAAUAAAACUGAGACAGUAAUUUUCUCAUCAAACCAUUCAUACAAGCUUUCAAUUAAAAAACUAAUGAUUAUGCUACCUUUGCACAGUCAAAAUACUGCGGCCCUUCAAAAAUUCAGUGGGCAGGCCCUACUUAAAU